CAGUCGCCGCGGUAAUACGUAGGGUGCGAGCGUUAAUCGGAAUUACUGGGCGUAAAGCGUGCGCAGGCGGUUCGUUAAGACAGAUGUGAAAUCCCCGGGCUUAACCUGGGAACUGCAUUUGUGACUGGCGAGCUAGAGUAUGGCAGAGGGGGGUAGAAUUCCACGUGUAGCAGUGAAAUGCGUAGAGAUGUGGAGGAAUACCGAUGGCGAAGGCAGCCCCCUGGGCCAAUACUGACGCUCAUGCACGAAAGCGUGGGGAGCAAACAGGAUUAGAGACCCGGGUAGUCCCUGUCUCUUAUAC
rnacentral:rRNA from 1 species